UACGAAGGGGGCUAGCGUUGUUCGGAAUUACUGGGCGUAAAGCGCGUGUAGGCGGGUCUUUAAGUCAGGGGUGAAAUGCCAAGGCUCAACCUUGGAACUGCCUUUGAUACUGGAGACCUUGAGUCCGGGAGAGGUGAGUGGAAUUGCGAGUGUAGAGGUGGAAUUCGUAGAUAUUCGCAAGAACACCAGUGGCGAAGGCGGCUCACUGGCCCGGAACUGACGCUGAGACGCGAAAGCGUGGGGAGCAAACAGG
rnacentral:rRNA from 1 species